GCUAAGAGCGGUAUACUCAGGAAAUACGGCAGAUGGAUUUAUUUUGUGGUCGCCUGGAAUCUAUUGGGAGUUGUGGCGUGGAAUGCACUGAAUGUAAAAAAGAGCAAAAGUGAUGAAAACUGGGACUCGAAAAGUGCAAAUCAGAGAUAUCUGGAGAUCAUCGGGAUCAAGGAGAACACAAAACAUAUCAAAAUUCAAGGACUUAGUAAAGUGGAGGUGGUGAAUGGCAAUGACCACUAAAGACAGGAAGAACCUGUUAGUGCAGCUGUCUGCUGGCGUUUUAUAUAGAUUCUGAUGUUGUCCUAGUAAACAUGGAUUAUGUGUGUACAUUUGUAAGAGAGGACUUUUCAUAAGAUGCACAAAAAAAAAAAAAAAACCCUGAGCCUCCUAAUGAAUUUUAAAAUAAUA